UGCAGAGUAAAUGUUUUCUAGAGAGAGGAACCCUCAGUUUAUGACCUCAGUAAGGCAAACUAAGGUGCAUUGUUAACCGUCAAUACUCUUUGCUAACGCCCCUUGAAUUCCUAUUUGAACUACCCAAAGUUUUGUCCAUUCUUGCAUCUUGUCUGCCGGGCGCUGUGUUUUGCAGCAGGGGAUGUUGUAUUAGAGACAGAAGAAAACUAUGGGGUGUAAUCUAAUUAUAGGUUUUCGUUAUGUACUAUAAUCAUGGAUUCUGGUCGUGUAAUAUGAUCAUUGGUUGUACUGAUUUGUAAAUUUUUCAGUGGGAAAUAUAUUGGCACUAACUAAA